rnacentral:rRNA from 1 species
UACGUAGGGUGCGAGCGUUGUCCGGAAUUAUUGGGCGUAAAGGGCUCGUAGGCGGUUUGUCGCGUCGGGAGUGAAAUCCACUGGCUUAACUGGUGGCUUGCUUUUGAUACGGGCAGACUGGAGGUAUGCAGGGGAGAACGGAAUUCCUGGUGUAGCGGUGAAAUGCGCAGAUAUCGGGAAGAACACCCGUGGCGAAGGCGGUUCUCUGGGACGGUACUGACGCUGAGACGUGAAAGCGUGGGGAGCGAACAGG